CCUACGGGUGGCAGCAGUGAGGAAUAUUGGUCAAUGGGCGCGAGCCUGAACCAGCCAAGUCGCGUGAGGGAUGACGGUCCUACGGAUUGUAAACCUCUUUUGCCGGGGAGCAAGCGUGCGUUCGUGAACGCGCGUCGAGAGUACCCGGAGAAAAAGCAUCGGCUAACUCCGUGACAGCAGCCGCGGUAAUACGGGGGAUGCGAGCGUUAUGCGGAUUUAUUGGGUUUAAAGGGUGCGUAGGCGGGAUGCACAGUCAGCGGUAAAAAUGCGGUGCUCAACGCCGUCGAGCCGUUGAAACUGGCGUGCUUGAGUGGGGGAGAAGUAGGCGGAAUGCGUGGUGUAGCGGGGAAAUGCAUAGAUAUCACGAAGAACUCCGAUGGCGAAGGCAGCAUGCCGGCGCCCUACUGACGCUGAGGCACGAAAGCGGGGGUAUCGAACAGGAUUAGAUACCCUGGUAGUC
rnacentral:rRNA from 1 species